rnacentral:lncRNA from 1 species
UUGCACCACCUCCUCCUGGAAGCUUAGAACCUUUCUCCAAACUAGGAUUAUUCCCUCCUAAGACCUCUCACAUCUUUUAGCUUGUGCCUUUUUUGCAGGUGCUUUGAUUCCACUUGUACUUCAACCAUCUGUGAGCUACUUCUAUUCUCUUUAGGAGACUGGCAACUCCCUAAAGGCAGAGCAUGAAUUGGGGGAUAAUUGGCCACCAUUACUGAGUGUCUACUUUGCCUUGCUCUGCACCUGUGGAUCCUCCGAACAAGGAAGCUUAGUUCUUCUUCUGCCCAUUUUGUAGGGGAGGAAACAGUGGAAACUCAGAGGUGCAGACAUUUGCCUAAGGAUAUACAGAAGAUAAGGAGCAGAGCUGACAUCAGAACUCAAGCUUGCAAAUGUGUAUGCGGGCCACCAUGCCACAUCUGCCACCUCUCUCACAGCACUGCUGGGGGAACAGGAGAAGCAUUGGAGGUGGCAGGCUUUGCCUUACUACACAUGGCAUAUGCAUUUUAAAUAAGGACUUUGAUCUGGAAGCAGGAGAGCAUAUUUAUUGCCUCAACUCAGCUUGAUUUGGGCUCUUCUGUCCCACAAAUGACACCAACCCUCACUGGCCUGAAGACCUUGCCUGAAAGAGAAAGAGCAGUGGCAUGAAGUCAGAAGAGCCACCCAGAGGUAGAUCCUGUUACUGUCAUCACAGCUACCUGAUCAGAAAACUGAAGUUCCAAACACAAGAACUGCAUUGCGAGUGGAUUUUCAACCCAGAAAUGCACUUUGAAGAGACAUGCGUUCGUAAGAGGUCGCUCCUGAGAAUGUGACAGAAAUCACUGUGCCACCUGGCUUUCUUCUUUGUGAGUCUAUAUCUAGGAGUGGACUAGACUGAUGCUCUGUGGUAUUAUUCUAACCAACAGCAGGCCAGGCAUGUUGGCUCAUGCCUGUAAUCCCAGCACUUUGGGAGGCUGAGGCGGGUGGAU